CAGCACAGCUUGAAAUGUAAUUGGUCUUGUCUUGUGGCCAUUUACAUGAUUCAAAAAGUGCGAGAUUAAAGUUAAUCUUGUCAUAACUGGAGUUGCUUGGCAAUAUCACCAAGUUUCUCUUUUAAAGCAAGACACAAAU
ensembl:snoRNA